UACGGAGGGUGCAAACGUUGCUCGGAAUCAUUGGGCGUAAAGCGCACGUAGGCGGACCGCUAAGUCGGAUGUGAAAGCCCUCGGCUUAACCGAGGAAGUGCAUUCGAAACUGACGGUCUUGAGUAUGGAAGAGGGUCGCGGAAUUCCCGGUGUAGAGGUGAAAUUCGUAGAUAUCGAGAGGAACACCAGUGGCGAAGGCGAGUCUCUGGACAACUCCUGACACUGAGGCACGAAAGCCAGGGGAGCAAACGGG
rnacentral:rRNA from 1 species